CUAGAUUUAGUUUUAUCUGAUAUUAACAAAAUUUCUGAUAAUAUUAUUUGUUGUUUGAAUAAAGCACAAAAGUGCUGAUUUUAUGAGAAAAAAAAUCCAUGUAAAUAUCUUAUUGAAUUUAGAUUCAUUUGAAAUCGAAGUGAAACAUAACUGAUGUUUACAUUUGUGAAAUUAGCUUUUGUGCAUAACUGAAAUUCACAAAUUAAUGUUUAUUAAGUAGAUGUACACAGUUAUGUGGAUAUAUUUGAUUGGGCGAGUAUUCAUAUUGACUUGACAUGCAGAUAAUUGUUUGAACGAAUUAAUGUAUUGACCGGAGAUGUAGAUAAAUGUUAGGACGACUAUUUAAUGAUUGGACGGAUCUAUAAAUGAAUUGACGAAUGUAUAUACUGAUUGACAUAUACAGUAUAAUUGGAUGAAUAUAUAAACGAAUUGAAAGAUAUUUGAACGAUUGACAGAUGAAUAAACGAUAGACUGAUAUAUGUAUGAUUAACGGAUACGUUCAUGAUUGACGGAUAUAUACAUGGAUAGACGGAUAUAUAAAUGAUUGACAGAUACAUGUAUAUGCAUGGCUAGACCGUUAUAUAAAUGAUUGACGGAUAUAUGCAUGGAUAGACGAAUAUAUAAAUGAUUGACGGAUAUAUGCAUGAAUAGACGGAUAUGAAAUUGAUUUGAAUGGUUUUUGAAUGAUUUGACGAGUAUAUUAAAAAUGAUUGAAUGGUUUUUGAAUGAUUGGACGAGUAUAUUAAAAAUAAUUGAAUGGAUAUAUUUUUGAUAAGAUGGAUAUAUGAAUGGGAAUUUGACGGAUAUAUGACUUGACAAAUAGAUGCAUGAUAUAACGGAUAUAUGAUUAAUUUGACGGAUACAUGAUUAAUUGGACGAUUUAUAAAUAAUCGGAUAGUAUAAACCUCGAUAUGGGCGAUAUAUUCAUAUACAUAUAUUUGUUAAAUGCUAGAUAUUAUAUAUCAUUCAUCGGAUGGAUAUUUUUUGUUUGCAAGGACUCAUGAUUGAGUAAAUGAUAUUUGGUUAUUUGUAAGAAAUCCUUUUUUUAUUUUUACGUUGUACGAGGUAGUUGCUUAUAGUUUUAAUAUGUUUUUGUAUGUUUUUUUGUUAUGUUUUU
rnacentral:lncRNA from 1 species